AGAAGAAUGAAAUAGACGAGCGCGUUUGAGUCAUAGCAACGCGAGACAAGUGGAUCAGAUGAAGAAUUUAAGGAAUUUCUAACGUCACCGAUACACACCAGCGAUGAUGUCAUUCUUCGGUGCGUUACGGACUGCAUGCUCGUGCAUCGUGUCCCUCGGAUCGCCGCAGUGACGUCAAAAUCCCUCUCUCUCUCUUUCUUUUCCUUUCUUGUACAUUCGAUCAAAAUGUAUAAAUAUAUGAAUACAAAAAUAGAUAAACUCAC